UGGCUCAGAACGAACGCUGGCUGCAGGCCUAACACAUGCAAGUCGAGCGCCGUAGCAAUACGGAGCGGCAGACGGGAGAGUAACACGUGGGAACGUGCCCUUCAGUUCGGAACAACCCAGGGAAACUUGGGCUAAUACCGGAUACGUCCGUAAGGAGAAAGAUUUAUCGCUGAAGGAUCGGCCCGCGUCUGAUUAGCUAGUUGGUGGGGUAACGGCCCACCAAGGCGACGAUCAGUAGCUGGUCUGAGAGGAUGAUCAGCCUCACUGGGACUGAGACACGGCCCAGACUCCUACGGGAGGCAGCAGUGGG
rnacentral:rRNA from 2 species